GCUGACGACCGGCGCACGGGUGCGUAACGCGUAUACAAUCUACCUUUUGCUGCGGGAUAGCCCAGAGAAAUUUGGAUUAACACCGCAUGGUAUGUAUUUAUGGCAUCAUAGAUACAUUAAAGGUUACGGCAAAAGAUGAGUAUGCGUUCUAUUAGCUAGAUGGUAAGGUAACGGCUUACCAUGGCCACGAUAGAUAGGGGCCCUGAGAGGGGGAUCCCCCACACUGGUACUGAGACACGGACCAGACUCCUACGGGAGGCAGCAGUGAGGAAUAUUGGACAAUGGAGGGAACUCUGAUCCAGCCAUGCCGCGUGCAGGAAGACUGCCCUAUGGGUUGUAAACUGCUUUUAUACAGGAAGAAUAAGACCUACGUGUAGGCUGAUGACGGUACUGUAAGAAUAAGCACCGGCUAACUCCGUGCCAGCAGCCGCGGUAAUACGGAGGGUGCAAGCGUUAUCCGGAAUCAUUGGGUUUAAAGGGUCCGUAGGCGGGUUAAUAAGUCAGUGGUGAAAGUCUGCAGCUCAACUGUAGAAUUGCCAUUGAUACUGUUAGUCUUGAAUUACUAUGAAGUAGUUAGAAUAUGUAGUGUAGCGGUGAAAUGCAUAGAUAUUACAUAGAAUACCAAUUGCGAAGGCAGGCUACUAAUAGUAUAUUGACGCUGAUGGACGAAAGCGUGGGUAGCGAACAGGAUUAGAUACCCUGGUAGUCCACGCCGUAAACGAUGGUCACUAGCUGUUCGGACUUCGGUCUGAGUGGCUAAGCGAAAGUGAUAAGUGACCCACCUGGGGAGUACGUUCGCAAGAAUGAAACUCAAAGGAAUUGACGGGGGCCCGCACAAGCGGUGGAGCAUGUGGUUUAAUUCGAUGAUACGCGAGGAACCUUACCAAGGCUUAAAUGUAGAUUGGCAGGUCUAGAGAUAGAUUUUCCUUCGGGCAAUUUACA
rnacentral:rRNA from 1 species